rnacentral:lncRNA from 1 species
GUACUUACAUAUAAUAAUAAUAAAUAUAUUUUUUAAAGGAGGUGGUUAAUGAGAAAGGCAAGAAACCAAAUGUAUUCCUUUGGACUUAGCUGUGCAACAAGUAAUGUUUACACAUUGCUUGCCCUGUCUAAUACCAAUCUUAGUGACAAUAUUGAGUGUGUGCAGAUCUUCAUUGUAAGAACAGUUCUAGACACUUGUUGAUGUGUUAACAUUUUUGUAUGUUUUGAACUUCUUGAGUAUUUAUUCAGAAUUUAAUAGCAGUGAAUUAAUAGAAGUUAACAUCUACUACUCAGAUUUGAGAAAAUUAGAAUUUUUUUUUUUUUUUUAAAGCUACUUCAGAUUUUAAAAAGUAAAGCAAACUGGAUCUUGGUGCAGAGCCCUGCAAUCCCAGCAUCUUGGAAAGCAAGGCAGAAGGAUGGAUUUGUUCCAGGCCUCUCUCUAGUUAAAUGUGCUUCCUCGCUUCUUCUGAUUUUAUUUUUAUGAUUUUAUGUAUGCAUGUACGAAGAAUACUUAGCUUUGUGUGUAUUUUUAAUUUUAUAUAAAUAGCAGUAUUUAGUAUUUAUGUAAAACUUCUUGAAUUUUGUUUUGUGCAGUCAGCAUUUGAUUCAUGAGUAUUAAUAGCUACAAAAGAAGUUCUUAUCAAUUCAGUUUUUUCUUUAAUUUUAGAUUGUAUUUUUUAACAUGAGCAGUAUACUCAUUAUCAUAAUGUGAUUAAGAAAGUGAUAGUCACCAUUUCUUUUAGAGCAUGCUUCAGUACCUGCUACAUCUAGGGUACUGUAUGGAAGAGGAUAUGUUUUCUGCUUUACAGAAUUUAUAUUGUAGCAUUCACUUAGAGAUUUUUCAUACCUGUCUAAACAUUAAGGAGGAAGGUAGAAUGGCUUAACUUCCCCUAUAGUUUUUAGGUGUUGUUUUGGUGUUUGUUUUCGAGACAGGGUUUCUCUGUAUAACCCUGGCUGACCUGGAACCCACUUUGUAGACCAGGCUGGCCUCGAACUCAGAAAUCCACCUGCCUCUGCCUCCCAAGUGCUGGGAUUAAAGGCGUGCGCCACCACCGCCCAGCUGUUUUUGUUUUUUGAAACAGGCUUUCUUUGUGUAGUUUUGGCUGUUCUGAACUCACUCUGUAGACCAGCCUGGUCUUGUGAACUCAGAGGUCCGCCUGCCUCUGCCUCCCAAGUGCUGGGAUUAAAGGCGUGCACCACCACUGCCCAGCCCUCUAAUAGUUUUUAUUUAAUGAAUAUUUCCUCUGUAGUAUGCUAAGGAAAGAAUCAUAAAUCCCAGCCACAGUCUAUACUACACAUUGUUAUUCAGAUAAGAAAAGUAAGGCUUGAUUUGCGUGACUUAACUGAUUUAGUGACAACCUAAAGUAAGGAUGGCUGACUUCAGAGUUCAUCCAGAUUUAGUGUUGGGAUAAAACUCAGUGGCAAAGUGUAUGUUAGCAUGCCCAAGGACAUAGGUUCAGUCCUUUGUACUGAAUAAAAAUUCAGACAGAUUUUAGAAUAAGGAAAUGUAAACAAACUUCAUUAUUCAGAUCUGAAAUUUUCUUCUUUAAAACAAAACAAAAAACUUACUUUGUAGAUCAGGCUGGCCUUGAACUCAUGGAGAUCUAUUUGCCUCUGUCUUUGAGUGCCUAGUUCUUCUAUUUUUUAAUUAUUUUAUUUUAUUUUAUUUUAUAUGCAUUGGUAUUUUGUCUGCAUGUGUCUUGGCAAGGGUAUUGGAUCUUCUGGAACUAGAGUUACAGACAGUUGUGAACUGCCAUGUGGGUGCUAGGAAUUGAACUCAGGUUCUCUGGGAGACCAACCAGUGUUUGUAAUCACUGAGCCAUCUCUCCAGCCCUUCUUCCAUUUCUAAAAGAUUUAUUUUUAUUUAUGUAGGUGUGUGUCUUUGUAGUGAGUAUAUGUGUGCAGGUGCCUGUGAGGUAUGAAGAGGGAAUGAGAGCCACAUGAACCAGUUAUGAGCCACAGGACAUGGGUUGUAUGAACUAUACUCAGAUUCUGAGAGAGCAGCAAGUACUCUAAAACAGCUGAGUUCUCUCUCUCUAGCCUCCUUUCCCCACAUUUUUAAUGUGCAUGCUUGUAUAUGUAUGGGCAUGAGGAGGUCCAUGGUUGAUGCUGAAAAUCAUCCUGAGUCACUCUUGUACUUUAUUCAGUGAGGUGAGGUCUCAGUUAACUCCAGAGUGCGCCUAUACAGUUGGUCUCACUAGCCAGAUUGCUCUGGGCAAUCUUCUUCCUGCCUCUGCCUUCUGGGAGGCUUGAAUUACAGGGACACUGCCAUAUCCCUAUGGCAUCUAAGAAGCGAUGGUAAUCUAAACAUGGUCUUCAUAUUUCCUCAACAAAGACUUUAACUACAGAGCCAUUUCCUCAUAUCUUAAAUCAAUUUACUAACAUUAGCAGAGAGAAGAAUCACUAAUAAUGUAAUUGUUCUCAUUAAAAAUUUUUCAGGAUAAUUGACUUUCGGGAGAGAGAAGGGUGAGGUUGACUUGAGACUCAGGGUCCUGCCAUGUAGCCCACACCAGCCUUGAACUCAAGAGUCCUCCUGCUUUAGCCUUCUGGCUGUAUGCUAGGAUUGUAGCCAAGUACCAUCACACUUGCUUCUUGCUUUUACUUUUAUUAUUAUUUUAAAAAAACCAAACAAACAUGUUUUAAAAUAGUGUUAUGGGCUAGAGAGCCAAGCAGCUAAGAAUUCAUACUGCUCUUGGAGAAGAACUGAACUUGGUUCACAGCAUCCAUAUCUGGAUGCUCACAACAGGUAGCUUGAGGGGAAUUGGACACUUUUUUCUGCACUCCAUUAUCUGUAACACUCAGAGUGAACCCUCCUAAAACACACACACACACACACACACACACACACACACACACACACACACAAUAGUGGUACCUGUUCAUUGUAAUAAUAACAGAGCUACAAAGUUGAUUCUAUAUUCUUGUUACUAAUGGACUAAUGCUUUGAUAAAACUAUGAAUUGAAGGUUCUUGGUAGUAAAUAGAUAAUUAUAUGUUUUUUUAAAAAGUUAUUGAUGACUAAACUGAUUAGAAAAUGAGAAGUUAGCAGGGUAGUAGUGGCGCCUGCCUUUAAUCCCAGCACUUGGGAGGCAGAGGUAGGCGGAUUUCUGAGUUGAAGGCCAGCCUGGUCUACAGAGUGAGUUCCAGGACAGCCAGGGCUAUACAGAGAAACCCUGUCUCAAAAAACCAAAAAAACCCCAAACAAACAAAAAAACCAGACAGGC